rnacentral:rRNA from 1 species
GACGGAGGAUGCAAGUGUUAUCCGGAAUCACUGGGCGUAAAGCGUCUGUAGGUGGUUCGAAAAGUCCACUGUUAAAAAUUGAGGCUUAACUUCAAAGAUGCCGUGGAAACUUUCAAACUAGAGUAUGGUAGGGGUAGAGGGAAUUUCCAGUGGAGCGGUGAAAUGUGUAGAUAUUGGAAAGACCACCGAUGGCGAAGGCACUCUACUGGGCCAUUACUGACACUGAGAGACGAAAGCUAGGGGAGCAAAUGGG